rnacentral:rRNA from 1 species
CCUACGGGAGGCAGCAGUGAGGAAUAGUGGUCAAUGGACGAGAGUCUGAACCAGCCAAGUAGCGUGAAGGAUGACUGCCCUAUGGGUUGUAAACUUCUUUUAUAGGGGAAUAAAAUGUGCCACGUGUGGGAUGUUGGAUGUACCAUAUGAAUAAGGAUCGGCUAACUCCGUGCCAGCAGCCGCGGUAAUACGGAGGAUCCGAGCGUUAUCCGGAUUUAUGGGGUUUAAAGGGAGCGUCGGUGGAUUGUUAAGUCAGUUGUGAAAGUUUGCGGCUCAACCGUAAAAUUGCAGUUGAAACUGGCAGUCUUGCGUACAGUUGCGGUCGGCGGACUUCGUGGUGUAGCGGU